GCUGAGGAGAGACCAGACAACAGAGAGAGGACACAGCCGGAGGAGCAGUACGCCAGCGUGCACUUCUCCAACAACCAGACAGAUCCUCUCUACUCCAACAUCAGAUCAGCUCAGCCCCACAGACACAUGGAGGAACAAGAGGUCGUCCAGUACGCUGCUGUCACAUUUAACAGAGCCGGUACUGCCCCGAGAACCAGAGGUCAGGAAACUGAAGAAGAUCCAGCUGCACUGUACAGCACAGUCAACAAAACCUCAUGAACACAUCAGCAAUCUCAUG